rnacentral:rRNA from 1 species
GACGAACGCUGGCGGCGUGCUUAACACAUGCAAGUCGAACGAAGUGGCGAACGGGUGAGUAACGCGUAAUCAACCUGCCCUUCAGAGGGGGACAACAGUUGGCAACGACUGCUAAUACCGCAUACUGAAGGAGGUGAUUGCGUUGGAUUAGCUAGUUGGGGGGGUAACGUCCCACCAAGGCGAUGAUCAGUAGCCGGGCUGGUAGGAUGAACGGACAAAAUGGAACUGGGAAACGGCCCAGACUCCUACGGGAGGAAGCAGUGGGGAAUAUUCCAAAAUGGACGAAAGUCUGACGGGGCAACGCCGCGUGAGUGAUGACGGCCUUCGGGUUGUAAAGAUCUGUUAAUCGGGACGCGGUACCGAAAUAGAAAGCCACGGCUAACUACGUGCCAGCAGCCGCGGUAAUAC